rfam:Schistosoma mansoni strain Puerto Rico chromosome 1, complete genome
AUCCAACUGACGAGCCUCAACCAGGAUGAAACGCGUGUCCUGGAU